GACAGAGGCCUCGAGCGUUAGGCGGAAUCACUGGGCUUAAAGCGUGUGUAGGCGGGCCCGUAAGUGUCUUGUGAAAUCCCACGGCUCAACCGUGGAACUGCUGGGCAUACUGCGGGUCUUGGGCCAACUAGGGGCAGCCGGAACAAGCGGUGGAGCGGUGAAAUGCGUAGAUAUCGCUUGGAACGCCGAAGGUGAAAACAGGCUGCUGGAGUUGCGCCGACGCUGAGACACGAAAGCCAGGGGAGCAAACGGG
rnacentral:rRNA from 1 species